rnacentral:lncRNA from 1 species
ACCCAUACCUUAUAAACAUAAACGGAUGGACUAACAAUUAACAUCACUACUUGGGAAAAACUCAAAUGAGUACGGAAAAAACUAGCUCCCAUGCUAUUUGCGCGGGUCACCUUGCUAGUUAAGCUAGAUCUUGAUAUUUGGUGGGCUAGCUUCAAUUUCUAUAACAUAGCUUUAAUUUCUAUAAUAUUUUUACGAGUGCUCGCUCCCUUGUGGGAUCCACAUGUCGUCGACUUAACAGAG